UGGGCGGGACCAGAGGAGGGAGGCGUGCAGCCGGGUGCCAGGGGCCCACGCAGAGCCCCGCGGGCCUUCGUGACUCACCGAGGCAGCCAGCAAGACGCAGGGAGGCAGAAGGGCCCCCCCACCCCCGGCCUGGAACCGCCAGCAGGUGGAGGCGGGCUAGGGCCCAGGGGUUCACACGGCCCUCCACAGGCUCCCCAGCCUGCUCCCGCCCCCUGCAGCGCCCUGGGAAAUGUGUGGGACCCACUUCGUGGCCACCUACGCACCUUCAGUCCUGGUGACUCAGCCAUCCAGCACAACUGCCCUUGAUAUUAUUUGUAACCUGACGUCACCUGAUCUAGGAGCGUCUGGGAGCAGAUUUGCCUGGACAGUUCCACUAAGAGAGCCAGCCCCGCACAGGAGAGGGGAGACCCUUCAGGUUCUCCCCUAAGAGCGUUUCCCACCGGGCGAACCUGGGAGACAGAGGCCAGGCCUGCCCCUGAAGUGGGGCGCACGGAUCUGCCUUCGUGCCCUGGCCCUGUUUUGUCUCAGCAAGAGUCCGGUUACCGGGGCUUCAUAGCCUCUCCAGGCCCCGCGGGGAAGGCAGCUUCGGAGCUUGCAGAGUUAGCAGAGAGCGGCUUUCAUGCAAGCAGGAAGCUGCCCAGAUUGCUUUACACUGCCAUCUGAAGUCUCUUCCUCUUCCGCCCACUGCAACACCACCUCCUCACGUCCUCCGGGAUAAGGAAGACGCAGAGACGAGCCUCGGUCUGUUGGACGACAGCUGAGCCACACUGCCAGUCCUGUUCCUUCUCCAUCUGGCUUUCUCGGUGAACUUUCCGCUGAACUCCUUCCAAGCCUGCGGGCAGCUCUCCUGCCGGGAGGACCCGGUGCCAGGCAGACCAGAAUAAUCGCCUCCUGUGUUCUGCACGCGCAGCCUUCAGUGAUGCAUCCCUGGAGUGGCAUUUGCAGCCUGUGUCUCGGCAGCCAGCCCCUGAAGAGCCGGCACUUCAUCACCCUCUGGUCCUCUCUUGUCUCAAAGCCCGAGAGCCUGUGUCAGAGUGGCUGAGGCUUCCUUGGGAAGACACGCCGUUGGUGGAUAGGAGGUUUUUGUGUGGCUGUGCUCUCUCAGCUGCACGUAUAAAGACUAAAUUUUUUUUUUUGAGGUUUGUUUAUUUAUUUGAAAGGCAUAGAGAGGGAGAGACAAUCUUCCAUCUGCUGAUUCACUCCCCAAAUGGCUGUUAACAGUCAAAGGCUGGGUCCAGCUCAAGCCAGGAGCCUGGAGCUCCAUCCAAGUCUCCCCCAUCAUUAGCAGGGGCCCAAGCACUUGGGCCAUCUUUGGCUGCUUUCCCAGGCCAUUAGCCUGGAGCCGAUUGGAAGUGGAGCCGCUGAGACCUGGGAUGCUGGCACUGCAGGAGGCAGCUUAACCUGCUGCACCACAAUGCUGGCCCCCUAGAAACACGGCUUCUAAUCCAAGGAGACCACAGGAGGAAGAAUACAGGGUGGGAGGGGGUUGUACACAGGCAUUAGGAGACCUGGGUUUCAGUGUGGCUCUGCUGAUGGUCAGGCUUGUGACCUUGGGCAAAACCAUACAUUUCCAAAAGCCCUGUCUUCACUUAAUGCUGUAGUUUUGCUAUGGCUUAAGCAUGUCUCCCAAAGGUACAUGUUCUGGAGAUUGGUCCCAGCGUAGCAGUGCUGGGGGGUGGAACCUUUAAGAUGUGAGGACUGGCAGCAGGUGGUAAAGACAUAGGGGGCCCUGCUCCAGGAAAGGAUUAAUGGGACACCCCCACUCCCACCCUAGAGUGAGUGCUCCAGAGAGAGGAUUCUUAUCCAGUGAGGCCACCCCACGAGCUGGUGCCUUCUGUAUACAUCCCAUUCCCGCUCCAUUUCUUGGCCACAGGGUAAAGUAGGCAAGGGGUCCUCAUCAGGACACCAGUGCCAUGCUGUUUGGAGCUUCAGCCGCCAGAUUCACGGGCCAUGUAAGCGUCUUUGCUUUAUAAAUUACCCAGCCUCAGAUAUUUUGUCAUAGCAACAGAAAGUGUCCUGGGAUACAAAAUAAGGGACUUGGCUUUGAGAUAAAGGCUCAUAGCAUCUUUGAGCUCAUCUGGUCUACCUAUCCUGUCACCGAGAAGUAAAAUUAGGCCCGGGGUGGCCACAGCUUCAUGAAGGUAAUGUAGCUAAGUGGUGUUAAGACUUGGGAGCAGGAGGCAGGCACUGUGGGGUAGUGGGAUCAGCAUCUGUCUGGGGUGCUGGAAUCCCAUCUGGACGCUAGUUUGAGCUCUGGCUGCUCCACGUUUGAUCCAGCUCCCUGCUGAUGGCCUGGGAAAGCAGUGGAAGAUGGCUGGCCCAAGGGCUUGGGUCCCUGCACCCAAGCGGAGGACCAGGAGGAGGCUCUUGGCUCCUGGCUUUGGAUCGGCUUUGGCAGCCAUAUGAGGAGUGAACCAGCAGAUGGAAUACCUCUCUCUCCAUCUCUCCCUCUUUCUGUCUGGCCUCUCAAGUGAAAAAAUAAAUCUUAAGAAAAAAAAAGGGGGGGGGGACUUGGGACCUUGUGGGACCUUGGGGCCAGCAUUGUAGAAGAGUGGGUUAAUCUACCAUUUGUGAUACCAGCAUCCCAUAUGGGGGCACCAGUUCAAGUCCCAGCAGCUCUGCUCUGAUCCACCUCCCUGUUAAUGUACCUGGGAAAGCAGGGGAAGAUGGCCCAGGUACCUGGGUUCCUGUCACCAAAGUGGGAGGCCCAGGCAGCCACUGCAGCCAUUUGGGGAGUGAACCAAAGGACAAAAGGUCUCUCUCUGCCACUCUGGCUUUCAAAUAAAUACAUGUCUUUUUCUUUUCUUUAUUUUAUUUUAUUUUAUUUUAUUUUUUGACAGGCAGAGUGGACAGUGAGAGAGAGAGACAGAGAGAAAGGUCUUCCUUUGCCGUUGGUUCACCCUCCAAUGGCUGCAGUGGCACACCGCGCUGAUCCGAUGGCAGGAGCCAGGUACUUCUCCUGGUCUCCCAUGGGGUGCAGGGCCCAAGCACUUGGACCAUCCUCCACUGCACUCCCGGGCCACAGCAGAGAGCUGGCCUGGAAGAGGGGCAACCAGGACAGAAUCCGGCCCCCCGACCGGGACUAGAACCCGGUGUUCUGGCGCCGCAAGGCGGAGGAUUAGCCUAGUGAGCUGCAGCGCUGGCCAAUACAUGUCUUUUUCAAAAAAGACUCGGGACCUUGUUUCAGGCUUGCUGCCUCCUGGAUUUGGGUGCAAACGGGUGAAAGAGGGAGACAUCUUGGGAGGGCACAGCCGUGGUGAAGGGAUUCCAUCCUCUGCAUGCAGGGAACCGCAUGGGGGCACCUUUCCUUCAUGUCAAGGUCGCCAGCCCCAGCCUCAGAGUGGAAGCUCUCACCCAGGGGCAAUCUGGCCCCUUGGGGGGGACAGUUUUGGUUGUCCCCACAGGCAGGGGUGGGGAUGGGGAUUCUGCUGUGUCUCUCCUGUGCAGGCUGCAGGCUGCAGGCACAGGCAGCCCCUCCACAGAGCCAGUCCAAAAUCUAGUAGGGCUGAGGUGAGACCCCCCCUUCUCUGCUGCACUCUAACCUGGAAUUUCAAACAUCCUUCCCUCCUUCCUCCAGCCUCAAAAGGGCUCUUUUUGCUGAUUUUGCUAUUGAUGCUGACUUUUAAAAUAUAAUUUUUUUCUUGUAUAUAAAAAUCAUCCAUGCUCAGUUUAAAGAAUUUAGGGAAUAUCAAUCAACCAUAAUCCUACCACAUGGAGGUAAGAAUAUUUUCGUAUUUGGAUUCUUUUUCCAUUUUACCUAUGAUUCACUGAGCACAUUGUGCUUUCUCUGUUUCCUGGCUUUUCUCAACAGCUCUCUCUGCACCUCGCUCCACUACAACCUGUCAAAAGCUCACCCGCCCUUCGGUUACCUCCAAGAGCACCUGCUCCAGGAAGCAUUGCAGGUCUCUCAAGACAACAGACCAGACAACCGCCCUUCAGGUCUGUCUGCGGCAGAGAACCUCUCAGUCAGCAGUGGCUUUGUUGCUCCAUUACUUGGGAUGACUCCGGAGAGCUUCCCAAGUGUGUGACUUUGGAGACAUUCAAUAGUACCAUAGAGAUGGGAAACUUCAACUUCAAGAGACCCUAAUGUGCAUGCGGCACUGGAACACCUACACAAAUUCUCUGAUCGAUACUACGGAAGGGGUGCAUUAGCAGGAGGCUGGAUUGGAAGUGGAGCAGCUGGGACCUGAACCAGCACUCACAUGGGAUGCCAGCGCUGCAGGCGGCAGCUUUACCCGCUAUACCACAGCGCCAGCCCCAGGUAAUUUGGUAUUAAAAAAAAAAACAUAAAACCGCAUUCACCUAGGAUUUAACUGAGGACUCCUGGAGCAUCCCGGUCCUGAUGGGCAGGUGGACAGAGGAUGGAGCCUUCAGCUUGGGAAUUUUCAGUGGCACCUGCUGGGCCUGCAGGUUCUGAGCUGGAAGGAUGCUGCGGAGCUCUCGCGUGUGCACAAGCAGACGAAGCCCUCAAGCUGACCGAAUAGCAUCGCAGCUCAGAGCUCGGAACCACCGUGCCUGAGUCCCGCCCCCUGGUAGCUGUGCGACCGUGGACGAGUCACCUACCCUCUCUUCCCUGAGCACCCUCACCUGCUAAAAUGUGGAGAAUCAUACAACAGACUCCCUCUUAUCUUCAGCUUCCAUGUCCACACACUUCAUUACCUACAGCCAACCAUGUUCCAAAAAUAUUAAUUGGAAAAUUCUAAAAAUAAACUGUUCAUAUAUUUUAAAUAAUUCUUAUUAUAAAGAAUUGCUACAAUUACCCAAUUUCAUUAUUCGUUUUUGUUGUUAAGCUCUUACUGUGCCUUAUUCAUGAAUUAAAUCUUACCAUAGACACAUAUGUUUAAAAAUAUAUCAGGGUUUUGUGUUGUGGUGUAGUGGGUUAAGCCGCUGCCUACAAGGCCGUCAUCUCAUAUGGGUGCCAGUUCAAGUCCCAGCUGCUCCACUUCUGAUCCAGCUCCUGCUAGUUCACCUGGGAAAGCAGUGGAUGAUGGCUCAAGUGCUUGGGCCCCUGAAUCCAUGUGGAAGACUUGGAGGACACUCCUGGCCCCUGACUUCAGAUCAGCCUCGCUCCAGCUGUUGUGGCCAUUUGGGGAGUAAACCAGUGGAUGGAUGCUCUCUUUCCCUCUCUCUCUUUCCCUCUCUGUAACUCUGCCUUUCAAAUAAAUAAAUGCAUCUAAAAAAAAUAAGCAUGAACACUCCACUCCAUAACGGAAAAACCCAACUCUGCAACAAGAACCAAGUCCUGGGAGCUGGAGGUGAAAGCAGAGGUGCUUCACAAAAACAGAAAAGGAAAAAGGAAAAAAGAAACAACAGCGUAUGUACAGGCUUUGGGGUUCUCUGGUUUCAGGCAUCCAUGGAGGGUGAGGGACAACUGCACCUGCCUCAGAGGCUGAUUUUUGUGAGGAUUAAAUGAGUCAAGUGUGUGUGCGUGUGGGGGGCAUUUAGAACAGGGUGGCCUUGGAGCAGUCUUAGUGUUGGCUCAGUGUAAAGCUCCCCCAGGUGCCACCAAGAUGGAGUCAGGUGACCAGGAGGGAACAAAAGAGGAGUGGUCGAUGUGGAAGGGGAUGUGUGGUGCUCAGUAAAGGCUCCAAACCAAGCCUUGAAGUUGAGUUGCUGGGGCCUGCGUUGUGGCGUAGUAUUGGUUAAGCCACAGCCUACAACACCAGUAUCCCAUAUGAGUGCUGGUUUGAGCCCUGGCUGUUGGGAUUCCAAUGCAAGAAAAGCAGGAGAAGAUGGCCCAAGUGUUUGGGCCCCGGCACCCAUGUGGGAGACCCAGAUAGAAUUCUUGGCUCCUGGCUCUGGCCUGACUCAGCCCUGGUCGUUGUGGCCAUUUGGGGAGUGAACCAGCAGAUGGAGGAUCUCUGUCUCUCUGUUACUCUGCCUUUCAAGUAAAUAAAAUAGAUCUUAAAAAAAAAUCUGAAUUGUUGGUGGGGGGCAAGGAGGAGAUGGACAAAGGCUAGGAGGUGGGGCAGAGGCUGGAGGACCAAAGGGAACCAUUUGCAUUCACCAGAUCCAGGAUGAGAUCAGGAGAGGGGAGGCUGGAGUGGGGUCCAGGGACUCAAUCCCAGGGCCCUCAAGGCCAGGAGGAGUACAGGGAGGGGAUGGGAGUGGGCAGGCCGGACACGAGAGCUCCAGUCUGGACUGAGGAGGGUGCCGGAGUGCAGAGUGAUGAAGGAGCCCCUGGGCAGCAGG